rnacentral:pre_miRNA from 1 species
GAUUUCAACUAAAAAGUCAUCAACAAAAAAAAAGUUGUUAUAACUCAUCAAGAUCUAUAACUUUUAUUUUUGACAUUUCUUAAUCCGACAAAGUGUUAGUAACAUUGUUCACAAAACUCACAUAUCUCUCAUCUGGUUUCAUAAACUAUAACGCAGAUAUGUAACAUUGUUCACAAAAUUUACAUAUCUGCGUUAUAGUUUAUGAAACCAGAUGAGAGAUAUGUGAGUUUUGUGAACAAUGUUACUAUCAUUUUGUCGGAUGAAGAAAUGACCAAAAUAAAAGUUAUAGAUCUUGAUGAGUUAUACAACUUUGUUGUUGAUGACUUUUUCAGUUGAAAUC